CUUCCAGUCAAGUUUAUACGGUUCGCGUUCUCCAGACUCGCCGAAAGAAAUUCACUCCCAUUAUUCUAGUUUAGAUAAAACCGUAACGGCGUUGCGGCUCGACAAUGGCCUUAGUCAUUUUUAUUUCCGCUCGGGAUACCGGACGUUACAUUAGCUAACGUCUAGAACGCGUUUCUUUAGUUCCGUAAGUAAUUCAUACAAAUCGAUUUGAGUACCGUGUUUCGAAUUUAGAAGAAAGAUAAGGCGCGUUUACGCAAGCAGGCCACCCAGAAUCCCAGAAGAGGAGCGCUGACGUCCUGGGACAUUUCCCGGAUUUUUCAAUCGAUAUUGCGCCGAGUCCCGUGACGUCACGGGAGUAGCCGUGACGCCCGCAAGUGGCCGACGCAUGCGUACUCGAGCACUGGGUUAAUAGGUUAGCUUAUCGAUUAGCAGGUCGUCCCACGGUACAACGAAAAGACUCUCCUCUUUCCUCUUCCUCUCUUUCGAUUCACAAGGCGUUUUAUCCAUCCAUCCUAUGAAACAGCCAGAGUAAUGAUGAAUUACUGAAUAAUCGUUCUAAUUCGUUUAUAUUUAUAAAACAAUAGGAUUUUAUUAAAUAGAUGUUAAAUAUAGGUAAAUCUGAUAUUUAUAUUAAACAUUCUACACUGGGAUUUAACUGAACUGUCUUUUACUAAUUUCUAAUAUCUAAAUAUUUUAUUAAUAUCUCAUGUAUUUCUCAGUUACAUACGCAUAUACUUUGAAGGCAAUUUUUCAAUAAAACUGAUUCUUACUGAUUUGUUUUAUUAACUAAAUGAAAUGAUACGUUAGAGGUGACUCAAGAGUUCUUAGGAAUAAUACAAUUGUCACAUUAGCAGUGACCUCAUAAUACAAAUAGAUAAAUAACUUUCUCUAUACUGAAAGAAGUAUUUUGAAUUUUGUAAAUAUUCUAUAGAGAAAUGAAUAAGUGCUUUUCUCUUUCUAUCACAAAUAUACACACAUAUGUUCUGAUCUUUCUGAAUAAUCUUUUUUCAUCAUUCUAUUUAAAAAAAAAAUAUCGCCACUAUUAUGUUUCAAAUACAUUGUACACAUAUUGAAAUCUCGUAAACAAGAACGGAAAAUAUGCGAUAUUUUCCCAUGUGUCUCUCUUUCUUAUAAUAUGUCAAAAGUCAGUUGCCAGAAAUACUCUUAAAACAGGCCUACCAAAAUAGUGGCGCAUUCGUCGGUAGAGAAAGAGAGAGAGAGAGAAAGAGAGAGAAAGAGAGAGAAAGAGAGAGAAGAUGAGUAUACACAUACUGACAGUACGGCGUUUUAUUCUGGUACACGGUAUUCAGACGUAUCCGAAUUGGAGAAGGAAGAGAGACAAGAAAAUCUAAUAAUUGCGUUUCUCUUUCUCUCUCUCUCUCUCUCUCUCUCUAUCUCUUUCUCUCUCUCUCUCUCUCUCUCUCUAUCUCUUUUUCUCUCUUUCUCUAUCUUCAGCGAGGUAUAAAAAUACACUUACUCACUUCGGCAUACCUUCACCAAAAAAGCACCACUAAGAAUGGAGUCAAAUUACUUUCUGGAGUCGAUAGAUCUUAAUUUUACGAUAAUCUAAGCGUGAAUUAGUUUUCUCUUUCUAUUAUUUCUAUCGAUUUGAAAGAUUCUUUUACAUAGAAAGACAGUAGAUCUAUAGAUAUAUCGAAAUAUCGAGGACAUUCAAAUCUGUGCCAAAGGAACAAAUAAUCUAUGUUAUAUAAUCGAUUUAAGAUUAGAUUAAUAAACAAGUCUUGUACAACCUAUUGAAGAGAACAAAAGUGAAGACGGGAAGAUAGCGAGAAAAGAAGUAAAAAAGACUGACAGAAAUGAGUAAUUUUUUACAGCAGUCUGUGGAAGAAAAUUAAUGGAACGUCGAUGCAGCAGCUUCGAUAUCUAUCUAAGAUGAAAGAAAGGGAGAGAUAAAGAGAGAGAGAGAGAGAGAGAAAGAGAGAGAGAGAGAGAGAAAG